GACACAGGGAGGUAGUGACAAGAAAUAACAAUUUGGGGCUUGAAGUCUUGUAAUUGGAAUGAUGGGAAUUUAAACCCCUUCCAGAGUAUCAAUUGGAGGGCAAGUCUGGUGCCAGCAGCCGCGGUAAUUCCAGCUCCAAUAGCGUAUAUUAAACUUGUUGCAGUUAAAAAGCUCGUAGUUGAAUUUCUGCUGCAUCGUGGUUCUUCGCUAUGUCGAGUGAUCUUCGUUGUGGCUUAGUUGGGGCAUGUUUUCAUGACUCGACGUUUACUUUGAGAAAAUUAGAGUGCUUCAAGCAGGCUUUUGCCUUGAAUACUUUAGCAUGGAAUAAUGGAGUAGGACUUUGGUUCUAUUUUGUUGGUUUUAGGAGCCGGAGUAAUGGUUAAUAGGAACAGUUGGGGGCAUUCGUAUUUGACUGUCAGAGGUGAAAUUCUUAG
rnacentral:rRNA from 1 species